rnacentral:ncRNA from 2 species
CAAAUACAUAUUUUUUCAGGUGCCGUCUGAGGACGGUGAAAAGGGAAUACGGUGUGAAUCCGUAACGUUGGGCCAGCGCUGUAUGCGGGGACAAUGGUCACAUAGAAGUCACUGUCGAAAUAUUUGACGGGAAGGCGUGGCCGGAGGAUGAUCCGCAGAGUCAGAAGACCUGCCAGGAAAAAAAGGAUAAC